rnacentral:rRNA from 1 species
ACGAACGCUGGCGGCGUGCCUAAUACCUGCAAGUCGAGCGAGCGGAACCAACAGAUUUACUUCGGUAAUGACGUUGGGAAAGCGAGCGGCGGAUGGGUGAGUAACACGUGGGGAACCUGCCCCUAAGUCUGGGAUACCAUUUGGAAACAGGUGCUAAUACCGGAUAAGAAAGCAGAUCGCAUGAUCAGCUUUUAAAAGGCGGCGUAAGCUGUCGCUAAGGGAUGGCCCCGCGGUGCAUUAGCUAGUUGGUAAGGUAACGGCUUACCAAGGCAACGAUGCAUAGCCGAGUUGAGAGACUGAUCGGCCACAUUGGGACUGAGACACGGCCCAAACUCCUACGGGAGGCAGCAGUAGGGAAUCUUCCACAAUGGACGCAAGUCUGAUGGAGCAACGCCGCGUGAGUGAAGAAGGUUUUCGGAUCGUAAAGCCCUGUUGUUGGUGAAGAAGGAUAGAGGUAGUAACUGGCCUUUAUUUGACGGUAAUCAACCAGAAAGUCACGGCUAACUACGUG